ACAGCAGCAGCCGCGGUAAGACAGAGGACGCAAGCGUUGUCCGGAAUUAUUGGGCGUAAAGAGCUCGUAGGCGGUCUGUCGCGUCUGGUGUGAAAUCCCGAGGCUCAACCUCGGGCUUGCAUCGGGUACGGGCAGACUAGAGUGCGGUAGGGGAGACUGGAAUUCCUGGUGUAGCGGUGGAAUGCGCAGAUAUCAGGAGGAACACCGAUGGCGAAGGCAGGUCUCUGGGCCGCAACUGACGCUGAGGAGCGAAAGCAUGGGGAGCGAACAGGAUUAGAUACCCCUGUAGUCCCUGUCUCUUAUAC
rnacentral:rRNA from 1 species